rnacentral:rRNA from 1 species
AACGAACGCUGGCGGCAGGCUUAACACAUGCAAGUCGAACGCAUCCUUCGGGGUGAGUGGCAGACGGGUGAGUAACGCGUGGGAACGUGCCCUUCGGUUCGGGAUAACCCAGGGAAACUUGGGCUAAUACCGGAUACGUGCGAGAGCAGAAAGAUUUAUCGCUGAAGGAUCGGCCCGCGUCUGAUUAGCUAGUUGGUGGGGUAAUGGCCCACCAAGGCGACGAUCAGUAGCUGGUCUGAGAGGAUGAUCAGCCACAUUGGGACUGAGACACGGCCCAAACUCCUACGGGAGGCAGCAGUGGGGAAUAUUGGACAAUGGGCGCAAGCCUGAUCCAGCCAUGCCGCGUGAGUGAUGAAGGCCUUAGGGUUGUAAAGCUCUUUCGUCCGGGACGAUAAUGACGGUACCGGAAGAAGAAGCCCCGGCUAACUUUGUGCCAGCCGCCGCGGUAA